rnacentral:misc_RNA from 1 species
GAUGAAGAACGUAGCGAAAUGCGAUAAGUAAUGUGAAUUGCAGAAUUCAGUGAAUCAUCGAGUCUUUGAACGCACAUUGCGCCCCCUGGUAUUCCGGGGGGCAUGCCUGUCCGAGCGUCAUUGCUGCCCUCAAGCACGGCUUGUGUGUUGGGCUCCGUCCCCCCGGGGACGGGUCCGAAAGGCAGCGGCGGCACCGAGUCCGGUCCUCGAGCGUAUGGGGCUUUGUCACCCGCUCUGUAGGCCCGGCCGGCGCCAGCCGACAACCAAUCAUCCUUUUUUCAGGUUGACCUCGGAUCAGGUAGGGAUACCCGCUGAACUUAAGCAUAUCAAUAAGCGGAGGA